CUGGAUGCUGCAUCUCCCCUGUUUGUAUUUGCUUCUGUCUAUACAGGGCCAGGCAGACGAUGGUGCGUAUGCGUGCGCUAGCUGGGAUGUCCUGGCGUUGGAACCCAGGUACAUGUUGCAAUGUUUCCACCAUGGAAUAGUGGCGUGCAUUACACAUGCGCAAUCCAAUUUCAAAAUCCAGGUGCCAAAAUUAUUUUUUUUCCUCUUCAAAAUUUUGGUUUCCAGGAUUUAGAGAGGCUUUUUACCUAGCAGCAACUGUUUGCCAGAUGCACUCAGAAUCUGUUGCAAGAGUGUUCUCACCUGCCCACCAACACACUUUGAGGCCAUUUAAGGCAAGACAUUUUGCUUUUAUCUUAUGAGUCUAGCCUGAAUUGUAAUUCAUUUAAUCUGUGCUGCAUGUUUCCAACACAGACCACAUGGAUUUAAGCAAUAGUUCUGUUCCAAUUUUACUAAAAAGGCUUCUGAAGAGGCAAUAAAUCAGUAAUAGUUUGACUUCUUACCUGGGCUUAGCUGUCAUUACCCAUAUCAACAAAGUUUACCUUAAUCAGGAAAUCCAGGGGUAAUGCACAUUUCACAGGCACGCAAAUAUAAUCUAGGCCGGAUUAUGUGCUAAACUGAUUGAUGGAAUUGCUAAAUUUAAAAAAGCUACUUUUCUAAAUUGGUUCCAGCAAAGUUUGCAUCAAACGUUUGAAAUGCAGUCUGCUUAAGCCUCUGCUUCUCAAGACCGGCUCAGAAAAAGCCUAGAUCAUGGGAAUUGUCUCACGC